GGGGGCCCGCACAAAGCGGUGGAGCAUUAGGUUUAAUUCGAAGCAACGCGAAGAACCUUACCAGGUCUUGACAUACUCGUGCUAUUCCUAGAGAUAGGAAGUUCCUUCGGGACACGGGAUACAGGUGGUGCAUGGUUGUCGUCAGCUCGUGUCGUGAGAUGUUGGGUUAAGUCCCGCAACGAGCGCAACCCCUAUUGUUAGUUGCCAUCAUUAAGUUGGGCACUCUAACGAGACUGCCGGUGAUAAACCGGAGGAAGGUGGGGAUGACGUCAAAUCAUCAUGCCCCUUAUGACCUGGGCUACACACGUGCUACAAUGGAUGGUACAACGAGUCGCGAGACAGUGAUGUUUAGCUAAUCUCUUAAAACCAUUCUCAGUUCGGAUUGUAGGCUGCAACUCGCCUACAUGAAGUCGGAAUCGCUAGUAAUCGCGGAUCAGCACGCCGCGGUGAAUACGUUCCCGGGCCUUGUACACACCGCCCGUCACACCACGGGAGUUGGGAGUACCCGAAGUAGGUUGCCUAACCGCAAGGAGGGCGCUUCCUAAGGUAAGACCGAUGACUGGGGUGAAGUCGUAACAA
rnacentral:rRNA from 1 species